AGCUUUGUGCAGUGGCAGUAUUAUAGCCAAUCAGGUUUACCUGAGGCGCGAUUAUUGCUAAUUGAAAACUUUUCUCAGUACCCUGCUGUGACAACUUGCAAUAUAGUCAAGCCGACUGGGCGAAUUUGACAUGCGUCCCAUGAAG
rnacentral:snRNA from 1 species